UACGUAGGGGGCGAGCGUUGUCCGGAUUUAUUGGGCGUAAAGAGCUCGUAGGCGGUUCGGUAAGUCAGAUGUAAAAACUCCAGGCUCAACUUGGAGAGGCCAUCUGAUACUGCCGUGACUAGAGUCCGGUAGAGGAGCACGGAAUUCCUGGUGUAGCGGUGAAAUGCGCAGAUAUCAGGAGGAACACCAGCGGCGAAGGCGGUGCUCUGGGCCGGAACUGACGCUGAGGAGCGAAAGCGUGGGGAGCGAACAGG
rnacentral:rRNA from 1 species